CGCAUAACGGAUAUUUGGACUCAGUAUAUAUUGUUUAUUUCAGACUGCAGUCAGAUCGAAUCUUUAGUACUCAAGCUUUCCACACAUAUGAUCCAAAAUAUCAAAAAGUCCAGCAGUACCAAGGAUAAUACAAUAUUGCCCUUAUUAUUAGAAGCUGUUAUUUCUUUUGUUAUAUAUAACACCAAAGCCGUGAGAAGUGUACUAAAAGUUGAAUUGCAUGCAACGAAAGACAGCUAAUAUGCUAUGUUCCCAUAAGUGUCAUGACUGGUAUUUUCAAUUGGUUAUCUAUUAAACAACGGCUGUACGUGUUUCUUGAUAAUGACUUUUAUAUAUAAAUAAGGAAAAGGCAUGUUGCCUGAGUAUUUUAAGAAAUCUGUAACAUUAAGACAUGAAAUUCAGUUUUUUUUGCCAUGGGGUGAUAGCCAUAAGGCCACUUGCAAUAGAAAUACUAAAUUUAGUGAGUUACUUAUUUUGUUGGAUUGUAAAAAUCGAUUUAGAAUAUACUAUUUCAUACGCUCAAAUAUUGAAAAAGAAAUUGAUUUUUAUUAAAAGGAACCUAACACCCAACAAAAUAAGUAACUCAUUAUGAAUUCGUCAUAACGAUACAGAUUUUACCUAAAUAAAUUUAGUAUUAUCUAUUCAUACUUA